rnacentral:rRNA from 1 species
UUGAACGCUGGCGGCAUGCCUUACACAUGCAAGUCGAACGGUAACGCGGGGCAACCUGGCGACGAGUGGCGAACGGGUGAGUAAUAUAUCGGAACGUGCCCAAUAGUGGGGGAUAGCCCGGCGAAAGCCGGAUUAAUACCGCAUACGAUCUACGGAUGAAAGCGGGGGAUCGCAAGACCUCGCGCGGACGGAGCGGCCGAUGGCAGAUUAGGUAGUUGGUGGGAUAAAAGCUUACCAAGCCGACGAUCUGUAGCUGGUCUGAGAGGACGGCCAGCCACACUGGGACUGAGACACGGCCCAGACUCCUACGGGAGGCAGCAGUGGGGAAUUUUGGACAAUGGGCGAAAGCCUGAUCCAGCCAUGCCGCGUGCAUGAUGAAGGCCUUCGGGUUGUAAACUGCUUUUGUACGGAACGAAAAAGUCUUCUCUAAUACAGGGGGCGAAUGACGGUACCGUAAGAAUAAGCACCGGCUAACUACGU